AGAGUUUGAUCCUGGCUCAGGAUGAACGCUAGCGGCAGGCUUAAUACAUGCAAGUCGAGGGGCAGCAGGACUGUAGCAAUACAGUUGCUGGCGACCGGCAAACGGGUGCGGAACACGUACGCAACUUACCCAAAACUGGGGAAUAGCCCGGGGAAACCCGGAUUAAUACCUCGUAACAUAAUGAAGUGGCAUCACUUUAUUAUUAUAGCUCCGGCGGUUUUGGAUGGGCGUGCGCCUGAUUAGGUAGUUGGCGGGGUAACGGCCCACCAAGCCUACGAUCAGUAACUGGUGUGAGAGCACGACCAGUCACACGGGCACUGAGACACGGGCCCGACUCCUACGGGAGGCAGCAGU
rnacentral:rRNA from 1 species